rnacentral:rRNA from 1 species
UACGUAGGAGGCGAGCGUUGUCCGGAUUUACUGGGCGUAAAGCGCGCGCAGGCGGCACUUCAAGUAAGGUGUGAAAUCUCCCUGCUCAACGGGGAGGGUGCACUUUAGACUGAGGAGCUAGAGGCCGGUAGAGGGGGGUGGAAUUGCUGGUGUAGCGGUGAAAUGCGUAGAGAUCAGCAGGAACACCCGUGGCGAAGGCGGCCCCCUGGGCCGUACCUGACGCUGAGGCGCGAAGGCUAGGGGAGCGAACGGG